GACGAACGCUGGCGGCGUGCCUAAUACAUGCAAGUCGAGCGGGGUUGUCGGAGUGGAGUCCUUCGGGAUGAAGCACCGUCAACCUAGCGGCGGACGGGUGAGUAACGCGUGGGUAACCUGCCCUAAAGCCCGGGAUAACACCGGGAAACUGGUGCUAACACCGGAUACCUUCCGAAGAGGGCAUCCUUUUUGGAAGAAAGGUUAACGCUUUAGGAUGGGCCCGCGUCCCAUUAGCUAGUUGGUGAGGUAACGGCUCACCAAGGCAGUGAUGGGUAGCCGGCCUGAGAGGGUGGACGGCCACACUGGGACUGAGACACGGCCCAGACUCCUACGGGAGGCAGCAGUAGGGAAUAUUGCGCAAUGGGCGAAAGCCUGACGCAGCGACGCCGCGUGGGUGAUGAAGGCCUUCGGUUGUAAACCUAGUCCUUGGGAAGAAGGAAGUGACGGUACCCGAAGGAGGAAGACCCGGCUAACUACGUGCCAGCAGCCGCGGUAAAGUCACGUCG
rnacentral:rRNA from 1 species